UGUCUCGAGGCUGCAUUACAAGUAGUGACCAUAUAAAGGAUUCAACCAGUCUGUUCCUCACAAAUGGUAGCUUUUCAGCGAACCCUAAGUUCUUCCACCACCUAUACAGAAGGCUGGGAUGAACCAUCUUGCGUAGCCUUUUUCGAUCGUCCAAUGUAGUGGGAGCUCCAGCUCUCGGCGCACCAUUUCUGACAGGUGCUGAUCAUUGAUGGUUCCAUCUACAAGUUUCUUUUGCAGGAACUUGUUGGCAAAUUCUCUGGCUGUAUCCAGCGUGGUUUCCCCAGGUUUCGACAGGAAAGAAGCUUCGUAGAGCUGUAGCAAACUUUUGGUGUGGGUGUCGUCAUGAUCACCAAGCAGGUUUGGAUCGAAUUCGUCAUGAUCGCUCGCCUUGAAACAAUCAAAUACCUCUGCGGAUAAGCAGCAGUGUAUGAAUGAAUCGUGAUUCAAAUGGAUCUUGUAGAAUUACAAUAGAGGAGGUGAGGAUGUCGAUGAUUUGGUCCCGGAAAUUUGAGGAUAUUCCAAGGCGAUGUAAGUCAUCAAUGAAUUCCAGUUGGAGUUGUGGAGAUCCCUCCAGGUCGAGUAACAGUUGCUUCACUUUCAGCUGCAGCUCAGAGGCUCUUGCCAGGUAUCGCUCUUCCUGCAACAUGGAAUAACUGAUAACAUGAUCUAUAGUUACUGUGCUGAUUAUAUUUCAUAGCAUUAUACAGUACAAGGAUUUAGUAUAAUUGAAUUCGCAACACAAAGAUGUUCUAACGCAUUAACAUAUACAGAAUAAAAUUGACAGCACAUGGUAAUACUCUAUACAUCCAUGUAUUGUUUGUUCUAUUUUCAUGUUGCUGAUUGGAGCUAAUCUCAUGCUGAUUAGUCCCAAUCAGCAAUCUAACUAACAGGAAAGAAGAUGGAUGGAUAGUAGUUACAGUGUAGGGGCUGUUCAAGGUAAGAAUGGAGUCAAAAUCCCAUGGGGAUUUCUCGUAGUUUCCGGGGCGUCGUGUGUGUGUCUGGUCAUCACUUGCUGUUGCUUUGCAUCUGGCUUUGAGAAAGGCAUUAUUAGUAAUGCAGCAAGUGAGGCGUGGAGGUUUGAAGUUGGAGAGGUUGUUUAUUAUUCUUAUGUUAGGAGUAGAAGUUGCAGAGAUAGGGCAAAGGGUUAUGGCAUUGGCAGCCAUGGUUAUGAUGGAUGAGAAUGAUGAUUCAUUCAUUCAUUCGUACAGACACUAAUUAAUGAUUACUAUAUAUAUAGAAGAGUAAGAAGAAGAAGAAGAAGGAUAUUUUAGUUUAAACGAUGGAUCAUGUGCUGAAUUUUGAAAUUCUAUCAUGCUUAUAUAU